GAUGAACGCUGGCGGCGUGCCUAAUACAUGCAAGUCGAGCGAACGGACGAGAAGCUUGCUUCUCUGAUGUUAGCGGCGGACGGGUGAGUAACACGUGGAUAACCUACCUAUAAGACUGGGAUAACUUCGGGAAACCGUAGCUAAUACCGGAUAAUAUUUUGAACCGCAUGGUUCAAAAGUGAAAGACGGUCUUGCUGUCACUUAUAGAUGGAUCCGCGCUGCAUUAGCUAGUUGGUAAGGUAACGGCUUACCAAGGCCACGAUGCAUAGCCGACCUGAGAGGGGGGUCGGCCACACGGGAACUGAGACGCGGUCCAGACUCCUACGGGAGGCAGCAGUAGGGAAUCUUCCGCAAUGGGCGAAAGCCUGACGGAGCAACGCCGCGUGAGUUAUGAAGGUCUUCGGAUCGUAAAACUCUGUUAUUAGGGAAGAACAUAUGUGUAAGUAACUGUGCACAUCUUGACGGUACCUAAUCAGAAAGCCACGGCUAACUACGUG
rnacentral:rRNA from 1 species